rnacentral:lncRNA from 1 species
GUAAUAUCAUAUAUUGGAACUGUUAUGAUGUCACAUAUAAUGAUGUUUUGGGAUGGAAUCCAUUAUUAUGUCAUAUUCAGAAUUUUUGUGAUAUCACAUAUUGUGAUAUUUCAUGACAUCAUCUAUAGCUAUAUCACAUUGUUGAAAUGUUUACGUCAUAAUGACAUCACACACUAGUGAUGUUCUGGGAUAUCAUCUGUUGGUAAAUUGUGUAACAGAAGUUUUAUGAUAUCACUCAUUGUUAAGUCGUAUUGACAUCAUUCACUAGUGACUUUCUGGGACACCAUACACUGAAGACAUUUGUGAUGCCAUCUAUUAUUAUGUUGCAAUCAUGUCAUUCUUGUAAGAUUAUGACAUAAUUCUGAUAUCAUUCAUUACAAUGUCAAUAACAAUCAGAACAACAGCCUGAAGGAUUAAAUAUGUAUUUUAAAUUAUGAUCCAGAAGUGCCUCACUCCCUGAGGGCAAUUUUGGCCCAGAAUAUAUUAUACCUAUGGCAGAUCUAAUUUUUUUACAGGCAUUAGAGAUGAUUACAGAAGAAUCAGAGAAAGCUAAUUGAAAAUUACAUCAUAGUUACUGAAAGAUAGACUCUGGUAAUAUUACUUCUGUCUCAGCUCUAUAAGAUGGAUCACUCAAAGUCACCAUCCAAAGAUUUAUUUUUAGAAACCAUAAUGGUUCAAAAACUGAAAGAAAAAUGGCCACCAUCCUAUUUAUUCUCCAAUAAAAACUGUGUAAUGUUAAAUAUGAUAGUUUUGCUUGGUAUCUCUAAGAGAUUGUUCUUGCUACUGUAUCUUUCAUCUGUGAAAUCCCAAUACAACUAUCAACAUAACUUAUAUUGUGUGGCAGAUUUAUAUAAGAGCUAAUAGAGCUUGAGCUCAGGGACCCCAACUUUUAGAGGUGCCAAAGGCAAUAACACAAAGUAUAUAAUUGUUAAAGAAGCAGAUAUCUAUAUCUGAAAUUUCAGAUAUCAAAUAAACACAAUGACAAGUACCACUGCUUGAUAACCAAUAUGCAAAACGUUACUGGCACUGGGGCA